UUUCCCUUCUCCAGAGGAUCUUCCCAACCCAGGAAUUGAACCCAGGUCUCCCACAUUGAAGGCAGAUUCUUUAACCAGCUGAGCCACAAGAGAAGCCCAGAUAUGUUCAAUUAGCUCCAGAUACAGCAUCCUCUGCCACAUUUUAUUCCUCAAAUAUUUAGUCCUUGUCUUCCCAGCUGAAGGAAUAGGAAUGUGGUUUCAGAAUCCUACGUGAUUAUAUUUAUUGCAGGCCGUUAUGGCAAAGGGGCUGCCUGCCAGCUGUGCCCUUUUUGAGCUUUGCCAAGUAUCUCCUGAGAGCCUCCCCAGGGCCUUAGACAGAGGCGGGAGCCGCUGCCACCACGAGGGUGGGCUAUCUGCCUACUUGGCUUCUCUCCUUUAUGAAUCUUCAUCCAUGGCUGCAGAGCUGCCUCACAGCAAGGCGGCGCCUCCUACACAGAGUUCCAGGUUCACCGGAAAAGGUCAAAGCGGUGGAGAAGCCAAAGGAGCGGAAUAUAAUUUGAGAAGAAGCAACACAUGUUAUUAUUCUACAUAGCAAUCAAAGAGCCAUUGUAUGAUAUGCCUACAAUAUGUAAGGUACAAUGUUAGAUUUUUUAAAAACAGCUUUGUUGAAAUA